rnacentral:rRNA from 1 species
GAUGAACGCUAGCGGCAGGCCUAACACAUGCAAGUCGAGGGGUAUAUAAUGCUUGCAUUAUAGAGACCGGCGCACGGGUGAGUAACGCGUAUGGAAUCUGCCUUGUACAGGGGAAUAGCCCAGGGAAACUUGGAUUAAUGCCCCAUAGUAUUAUGAGACGGCAUUGUUUUAUAAUUAAAGAUUUAUCGGUACAAGAUGAUCAUGCGUCCCAUUAGCUUGUUGGUGUGGUAACGGCACACCAAGGCUACGAUGGGUAGGGGCCCUGAGAGGGGGAUCCCCCACACUGGUACUGAGACACGGACCAGACUCCUACGGGAGGCAGCAGUGAGGAAUAUUGGACAAUGGGCGAGAGCCUGAUCCAGCCAUGCCGCGUGCAGGAAGACCGCCCUAUGGGUUGUAAACUGCUUUUUUACGGGAAGAAACACCACUACGUGUAGUGGCUUGACGGUACCGUAAGAAUAAGGACCGGCUAACUCCGUGCCAGCAGCCGCGGUAAUACGGAGGGUCCGAGCGUUAUCCGGAAUCAUUGGGUUUAAAGGGUCCGUAGGCGGGCAAUUAAGUCAGUGGUGAAAGUCUGCAGCUCAACUGUAGAAUUGCCAUUGAUACUGGUUGUCUUGAAUCGUUGUGAAGUGGCUAGAAUAUGUGGUGUAGCGGUGAAAUGCUUAGAUAUCACAUAGAAUACCGAUUGCGAAGGCAGGUCACUAACAACGUAUUGACGCUGAUGGACGAAAGCGUGGGGAGCGAACAGGAUUAGAUACCCUGGUAGUCCACGCCGUAAACGAUGGAUACUAGCUGUCCGGCUCACAUUGGUGAGCUGGGUGGCCAAGCGAAAGUGAUAAGUAUCCCACCUGGGGGAGUACGUUCGCAAGAAUGAAACUCAAAGGAAUUGACGGGGGCCCGCACAAG